GCAAUGAUAAAUAAGGGGCAAUUUGCAUUGUAUGGCUUCUAAACCAUUUAAAGUUUAUAAUUUAUUUUAUAAACGACAAUGGAUGUGAUGCCAAUGUAAUUUGUAACAUAGUAAAUUAGGAGGAUCUUCGAUCACCUGAUGCCGCGCUAGUUACAUAUAAAAGCAUUAUUUAAUACAAUGACAAAGCCUAGAAUCAAUUGUAAACGACUUUUGUAACAGGCAAGGUGUUGUAAGUGGUUGAGCAGCUGCCAUACUGCGAUCCACUGAAGCUUAUCCUUUGCUUGAUGAUUCGA
rnacentral:ncRNA from 1 species